rnacentral:rRNA from 1 species
UACGUAGGGUGCAAGCGUUAAUCGGAAUUACUGGGCGUAAAGCGUGCGCAGGCGGUUUUGUAAGUCUGUCGUGAAAGCCCCGGGCUCAACCUGGGAAUUGCGAUGGAGACUGCAAGGCUUGAAUCUGGCAGAGGGGGGUAGAAUUACACGUGUAGCAAUGAAAUGCGUAGAGAUGUGGAGGAACACCGAUGGCGAAGGCAGCCCCCUGGGUCAAGAUUGACGCUCAUGCACGAAAGCGUGGGGAGCAAACAGG